rnacentral:rRNA from 1 species
GGACGAACGCUGGCGGCACGCUUAACACAUGCAAGUCGAACGGAAACCAUUAGAUAGUUACUAUUUGAGAAGUUUAGUGGCGGACGGGUGAGUAACACGUGGAUAAUCUGCCUCAAAGAGGGGGGAUAACACAGGGAAACUUGUGCUAAUACCGCAUACCUUGGUGAGGAUGCAUGUUCUUAUCAAGAAAGGAUGCCUCUGCAUAUGCAUUCGCUUUGAGAUGAGUCCGCGGUUCAUUAGCUGGUUGGUGGGGCAACGGCCUACCAAGGCGACGAUGGAUAGCCGGCCUGAGAGGGUGAACGGCCACACUGGGACUGAGACACGGCCCAGACUCCUACGGGAGGCAGCAGUGGGGAAUAUUGUCCAAGUGGGGGAAACCCUGAGACAGCCGAUGCCGCGUGAGUGAGGUAAGGUUUUCGGAUUGUAAAACUCUGUCGUAAGGGACGAAAAGAUAUUUUUUAACAGAAAAUAUAUUGACGGUACCUUACAAGGAAGCCCCGGCUAACUACGUGCCAGCCGCUGC